UAAUCUCAAGCAACCGCUUGGUAUUGGAGGAUGAUCUGCCUAGCAGUUCACUUCUUAAACUGAUUGGCAAGUUUACAUAGCAGCAAGCGUAGUAGAAAUACCAUCAGCUUAGUUACUCUGUAUAGCUUUGUCAAAAUCAAACUAUUCUAAG
rnacentral:misc_RNA from 1 species